CACGCGAUAAGGAACUGAUAAAAUAUUUGGACAAAAUGUCUCAUGUUAUCUUGGUUGUGCGAUUGAUGGACCAUUACAUUAUGUCCCUAAAGCAACUAGUUAUAGGUGGAAAUCCUGGCAGGACAAAAGGUUUCAAGUUUGAAUUAAAGUUCUCGACAAAACUCUUAACUGAGGACAAGAAUAUAC